AGAAAGCCUCACUUGACACAUCUCCAGUGUGCUCAGAUCCUGCUGUGGCUAAUCCUGGAUCUGGAGGCUGGCUGUGUGACUCAUGGCUGAGAAGACCCUAGAAGGAGGACAAAGGCCCUGUGCAGUGCCCUGGGACACUGUAAAAGGGGAAAAACUUCGCUCCAAGGAGCUGAGGUCCUGCUUCACUGGUUUAGACAGUGGCAUCUUCUAGCUUCAGCUUCUCCAUCAUGCCUAGCAGUCCUCUGAACGGCACUCUUAAGCACCAUGCCACAGUGAGACCUCAUGACCAAAUCGUCUCAAUACACUUAUUUUGAAGCUGGAACUGAUAUUGAAAUAUGUAAUGGGGUGGAUUGGAUCCAAAUAUAUUAUAUCUAUGUGUGAUUAUUAAAUAAUUUUAAGUUAAAUAAAUAUAAAGCACAAGUA